AUGGCCUUGGAGCUAAAUAAAGGCAGGCCCGUCUUAGAGGGGAUCCCUGGGGGGAAAGAGACGAGCAUAGGUUCCUCCCAAGAUGCCACCCGCUUCAUUCAAGUGUCUGGCAGCACUGUGUUCCUGUUAGAGCCACCAGCACAAGCACCAGACGAUGCUGAUCCAGGUGAAGGCCCCAGUGCAGCAGCAACAGCACAUGAUGGAGACGAUGAUGAGGAGGAGACCAUCUCUCUGGAUUCCAGAAGGCAUGAGGUAUCAUGUUAA
ensembl:lncRNA